GUGUCAGCAGCCGCGGUAAUACGGAGGGUGCAAGCGUUAAUCGGAAUUACUGGGCGUAAAGCGUGCGUAGGCGGUGAUUUAAGUCAGAUGUGAAAGCCCCGGGCUUAACCUGGGAACGGCAUUUGAUACUGGGUCACUUGAGUGUGGUAGAGGAGAGCGGAAUUUCCGGUGUAGCGGUGAAAUGCGUAGAUAUCGGAAGGAACACCAGUGGCGAAGGCGGCUCUCUGGACCAACACUGACGCUGAGGUACGAAAGCGUGGGUAGCAAACAGGAUUAGAAACCCCCGUAGUCC
rnacentral:rRNA from 1 species